rnacentral:rRNA from 1 species
AGUGAACGCUGGCGGUAGGCCUAACACAUGCAAGUCGAACGGCAGCACAGUAAGAGCUUGCUCUUACGGGUGGCGAGUGGCGGACGGGUGAGGAAUACAUCGGAAUCUACUUUUUCGUGGGGGAUAACGUAGGGAAACUUACGCUAAUACCGCAUACGACCUACGGGUGAAAGCAGGGGAUCUUCGGACCUUGCGCGAUUGAAUGAGCCGAUGUCGGAUUAGCUAGUUGGCGGGGUAAAGGCCCACCAAGGCGACGAUCCGUAGCUGGUCUGAGAGGAUGAUCAGCCACACUGGAACUUAGACACGGUCCAGACUCCUACGGGAGGCAGCAGUGGGGAAUAUUGGACAAUGGUCGCAAGCCUGAUCCAGCCAUACCGCGUGGGUGAAGAAGGCCUUGGGGUUGUAAAGCCCUUUUGUUGGGAAAGAAAAGCAGCAGGUUAAUACCCCGCUGUUCUGACGGUACCCAAAGAAUAAGCACCGGCUAACUUCGUG